rnacentral:rRNA from 1 species
UACGUAGGGGGCAAGCGUUGUCCGGAAUUAUUGGGCGUAAAGCGCGUGUAGGCGGCCAGGUAGGUCCGCUGUGAAAACCCGAGGCUCAACCUCGGGACGUCGGCGGAAACCAUCUGGCUAGAGUCCGGAAGAGGAGAGUGGAAUUCCCGGUGUAGCGGUGAAAUGCGCAGAUAUCGGGAAGAACACCCGUGGCGAAGGCGGCUCUCUGGGACGGUACUGACGCUGAGACGCGAAAGCGUGGGGAGCGAACAGG